UACGGGGGGUGCGAGCGUUGUUCGGAAUUACUGGGCGUAAAGGGCUCGUAGGUGGCCAACUAAGUCAGACGUGAAAUCCCUCGGCUUAACCGGGGAACUGCGUCUGAUACUGGAUGGCUUGAGUUUGGGAGAGGGAUGCGGAAUUCCAGGUGUAGCGGUGAAAUGCGUAGAUAUCUGGAGGAACACCGGUGGCGAAGGCGGCAUCCUGGACCAACACUGACACUGAGGAGCGAAAGCCAGGGGAGCAAACGGG
rnacentral:rRNA from 1 species